rnacentral:tRNA from 1 species
GGCAGGUUGCCCGAGUGGCCAAAGGGAACAGACUGUAAAUCUGUCGGCGUAUGCCUACGCAGGUUCGAACCCUGCACCUGCCA